CAACAGGGAUUGCCCUAGUAACGGCGAGUGAAGCGGCAACAGCUCAAAUUUGAAAUCUGGCUUCGGCCCGAGUUGUAAUUUGUAGAGGAAGCUUUAGGCGCGGCACCUUCUGAGUCCCCUGGAACGGGGCGCCAUAGAGGGUGAGAGCCCCGUAUAGUUGGAUGCCUAGCCUGUGUAAAGCUCCUUCGACGAGUCGAGUAGUUUGGGAAUGCUGCUCAAAAUGGGAGGUAAAUUUCUUCUAAAGCUAAAUAUUGGCCAGAGACCGAUAGCGCACAAGUAGAGUGAUCGAAAGAUGAAAAGCACUUUGAAAAGAGGGUUAAAUAGCACGUGAAAUUGUUGAAAGGGAAGCGCUUGUGACCAGACUUGCGCCGGGCGGAUCAUCCGGUGUUCUCACCGGUGCACUCCGCCCGGCUCAGGCCAGCAUCGGUUCUCGUGGGGGGAUAAAGGCCCUGGGAACGUAGCUCCUCCGGGAGUGUUAUAGCCCAGGGUGUAAUGCCCUCGCGGGGACCGAGGUUCGCGCAUCUGCAAGGAUGCUGGCGUAAUGGUCAUCAGCGACCCGUCUUGAAACACGGACCAAGGAGUCAAGGUUUUGCGCGAGUGUUUGGGUGUUAAACCCGCACGCGUAAUGAAAGUGAACGUAGGUGAGAGCUUCGGCGCAUCAUCGACCGAUCCUGAUGUAUUCGGAUGGAUUUGAGUAGGAGCGUUAAGCCUUGGACCCGAAAGAUGGUGAACUAUGCUUGGAUAGGGUGAAGCCAGAGGAAACUCUGGUGGAGGCUCGCAGCGGUUCUGACGUGCAAAUCGAUCGUCAAAUCUGAGCAUGGGGCGAA
rnacentral:rRNA from 1 species